GAUGAACGCUGGCGGCGUGCCUAAUACAUGCAAGUCGAGCGAACAGAUAAGGAGCUUGCUCCUUUGACGUUAGCGGCGGACGGGUGAGUAACACGUGGGUAACCUACCUAUAAGACUGGGAUAACUUCGGGAAACCGGAGCUAAUACCGGAUAACAUUUGGAACCGCAUGGUUCUAAAGUGAAAGAUGGUUUUGCUAUAACUUAUAGAUGGACCCGCGCCGUAUUAGCUAGUUGGUAAGGUAACGGCUUACCAAGGCGACGAUACGUAGCCGACCUGAGAGGGUGAUCGGCCACACUGGAACUGAGACACGGUCCAGACUCCUACGGGAGGCAGCAGUAGGGAAUCUUCCGCAAUGGGCGAAAGCCUGACGGAGCAACGCCGCGUGAGUGAUGAAGGGUUUCGGCUCGUAAAACUCUGUUAUUAGGGAAGAACAAAUGUGUAAGUAACUGUGCACGUCUUGACGGUACCUAAUCAGAAAGCCACGGCUAACUACGUG
rnacentral:rRNA from 1 species